ACACCAGGAGAUCGCCUGAAACUUAGCCUCUCUCUCUUCGUGAGUUGCUGCUGCGCCACCGGCGGGUCUCACCAUGCCCUAGUUUUCUUCGCGUCUUCUUCCCUGGGCGAUCGACGACUCUUCCCUCAGCCGAUCCCUUCCAUUCAGCCGGGGUGCCCUCAUGACCUCAAGCUCCUCAGCGUGCCCUAGAUCGCCGACGUCGAUUGGGGCUUAGAGCACAUAGGUGAGGAUCCGGAUCUGGCGACAAUCUCUGGAGGCGGCUAAUAAAGGAGGAAGAUCUUGGAUCGGUUCUUCCUGUUUUCCCCUAAUCAGAGCUUGGACUCCUUCCUUGCGGAGGAAAUUUAGGGCUACUGGUUGGACCAGAUCGGCUCACUUUGUACCAGCAGGGGCUGAAUGCUCUCGAUCAAUAAGCACGGCUGUGAAGUUACUUAUUCUUGUUCCAACAGCUACUUACCUUGAAUUCCAGCAGCAAACAACCCUUCACCAGCAGCAAUCAACGGCUGUGAAUACGGCUGUGAAUUGAGGACUUUGACGCGAGACGAGCAUCUCGACGUCGGAU